UCCGCCCACUGUCAUUAUGGACCUGGUCACUACUUCCUGCUAAAGUAGGUAGCUCCGCCCACUGCCAUUAUGGCACUGGUCACUACUUCCUGCUAAGGUUGGUAGCUCCGCCCACUGUCAUUAUGGCACUGGUCACUACUUCCUGAUAAAGUAGGUAGCUCCGCCCACUGCAUUAUGGCACUGGUCACUACUUCCUGAUAAAGUAGGUAGCUCCGCCCACUGCCAUUAUGGCACUGGUCACUACUUCCUGAUAAAGUAGGUAGCUCCGCCCACUGCCAUUAUGGCACUGGUCACUACUUCCUGAUAAAGUAGGUAGCUCCGCCCACUGCCAUUAUGGCACUGGUCACUACUUCCUGCUAAGGUUGGUAGCUCCGCCCACUGCCAUUAUGGCACUGGUCACUACUUCCUGAUAAAGUAGGUAGCUCCGCCCACUGCCAUUAUGGCACUGGUCACUACUUCCUGCUAAGGUAGGUAGCUCCGCCCACUGCCAUUAUGGCACUGGUCACUACUUCCUGCUAAGGUAGGUAGCUCCGCCCACUGCCAUUAUGGCACUGGUCACUACUUCCUGCUAAGGUUGGUAGCUCCGCCCACUGCCAUUAUGGCACUGGUCACUACUUCCUGCUAAGGUUGGUAGCUCUGCCCACUGUCAUUACGGUACUGGUCACUACUUCCUGCUAAGGUAGGUAGCUCCGCCCACUGUCAUUACGGCACUGGUCACUACUUCCUGCUAAGGUAGGUAGCUCUGCCCACUGCCAUUAUGGCACUGGUCACUACUUCCUGAUAAAGUAGGUAGCUCCGCCCACUGCCAUUAUGGCACUGGUCACUACUUCCUGCUAAGGUAGGUAGCUCCGCCCACUGCCAUUAUGGCACUGGUCACUACUUCCUGCUAAGGUUGGUAGCUCUGCCCACUGUCAUUAUGGAGCUGGUCACUACUUCCUGCUAAGGUAGGUAGCUCCACCCACUGUCAUUACGGCACUGGUCACUAUUUCCUGCUAAGGUAGGUAGCUCCGCCCACUGUCAGUAUGGCACUGGUCAACAAAGCUGUAUCUGAAAACAUACUAGCUGUCAAAUCCUUUGUUUCCUCUGUCCUUGUUUCCUCAAUUAUUUAUCAAAGCGGAUUGGAGGAGGAGGUCUGAGAGACUGUUGAUAUUAAACAAAGCCCAUGGCCAGCCCAUCUCCACACGUAGCAAUGGCCUCCAUUGACCUGAAAACUUAACCACACUGCUAACUUUGAACAUAACCUUAAAUUAAGACCAAAAAAUAUUAUUUUUGUUUUCAUACAAUGUUUUAUGAAAUAGUCAAUUACGACUCAGGCCACCUAGUGGGUGUCCCUUGACCUACUAAUCCCUUGAACUUUGACCUCUAACCUGUAUGUGACC